rnacentral:rRNA from 1 species
GACGAACGCUGGCGGCGUGCUUAACACAUGCAAGUCGAACGGAAAGGCCCUGCUUUUGUGGGGUGCUCGAGUGGCGAACGGGUGAGUAGCACGUGAGUAACCUGCCCUUGACUUUGGGAUAACUUCAGGAAACUGGGGCUAAUACCGGAUAGGAGCUCCUGCUGCAUGGUGGGGGUUGGAAAGUUUCGGCGGUUGGGGAUGGACUCGCGGCUUAUCAGCUUGUUGGUGGGGUAGUGGCUUACCAAGGCUUUGACGGGUAGCCGGCCUGAGAGGGUGACCGGCCACAUUGGGACUGAGAUACGGCCCAGACUCCUACGGGAGGCAGCAGUGGGGAAUAUUGCACAAUGGGCGGAAGCCUGAUGCAGCAACGCCGCGUGCGGGAUGACGGCCUUCGGGUUGUAAGCCGCUUUCGCCUGUGACGAAGCGUGAGUGACGGUAAUGGGUAAAGAAGCACCGGCUAACUACGUG